CCUACGGGUGGCAGCAGUGAGGAAUAUUGGUCAAUGGACGAGAGCCUGAACCAGCCAAGUCGCGUGAAGGAUGACUGCCCUAUGGGUUGUAAACCUCUUUUAUAUGGGAAUAAUAAACUUUACGCGUAGAGUGAUGACAGUACCAUACGAAUAAGCAUCGGCUAACUCCGUGCCAGCAGCCGCGGUAAUACGGAGGAUGCGAGCGUUAUCCGGAUUUAUUGGGUUUAAAGGGUGCGUAGGCGGCAUUAUAAGUUAGUGGGAAAAUAUUGGGGCUUAACCUCACUAUGCCAUUAAUACUUUAGAGCUAGAGAACAGACGAGGUAGGCGGAAUAAGUUAAGUAGCGGUGAAAUGCAUAGAUAUAACGUAGAACACCGAUAGCGAAGGCAGCUUACUAGACUGAGUCUGACGCUGAUGCACGAGAGUAUGGGUAGCGAACAGGAUUAGAUACCCUUGUAGUC
rnacentral:rRNA from 1 species